CGAGCAUCUGUGAAAACAUCUCAUACAGCUGGUACAAAGAGUUAUGCUCGUUGGGCUGAGGACCUUCGACAAGAAGAUCCUGAAAAGAAACAACCACAUAGAGCGAAGGUUUAUUUAGCGACUCAUAAAAAAAAAGAUGAAGAAAGAAAUAAACAUGUGGCUGACUUGGCUGACUUGGAAAAGCUAAUACAUAAUGAACCAGAGCUAGCACAGAGUGACCAUGGAAAAGUUGCAUGGAAAGGUGAUGCCUUACAUACAAUUUUGGGGGAAG